rnacentral:lncRNA from 1 species
GUAUUCUGCACAAAUCCAAGCGCAACCUCACUCUCUUCUUCUCUUCUCUAGCUCAACUAGCACUAGCAGCAGGAAGGAGCAGCAGAGGCCAAGGCACACUAACCAGCAGCAAGGCAGAGCUUGUUUAUUUUUUGAAACGAGGCAGCAAGGCAAGAAUGAUGAAGAAGGGAGCCGUAUUUAUAGGGAAGCACCGUUACACUGACAUAUGGAGCCCACGCGGGUCGCCUAGUGGGCUUUUAGUUUUCGAAGAGAAGCGCUGAUUGGCGUGUCGCCUGUCGGGAUCGGUGCAUCGAACUAAACCCGGUUUUUC